rnacentral:rRNA from 1 species
GCAUAUCAAUAAGCGGAGGAAAAGAAACCAACAGGGAUUGCCUCAGUAGCGGCGAGUGAAGCGGCAAGAGCUCAGAUUUGAAAUCUCACCUAGUGUGCGAGUUGUAAAUUGCAGGUUGGAGUCUCGGGUUAGACGUGUGUGCAAGUCCCUUGGAACAGGGUGCCACUGAGGGUGAGAGCCCCGUAGCGUGCAUGUCGACACCUGUGAGGCCCUUCUGACGAGUCGAGUUGUUUGGGAAUGCAGCUCUAAGUGGGUGGUAAAUUCCAUCUAAGGCUAAAUAUUGGCGAGAGACCGAUAGCGAACAAGUACUGUGAAGGAAAGAUGAAAAGCACUUUGAAAAGAGAGUGAAACAGCACGUGAAAUUGUUGAAAGGGAAGGGUAUUGGGCUCGACAUGGGAUUUACGCAUCGUUGCCUCUCGUGGGCGGCGCUCUGGGUUUUUCCUGGGCCAGCAUCGGUUUUCGUUGCAGGAUAAGGACAAUUGGAAUGUGGCUCCUCGGAGUGUUAUAGCCUUUUGUAGAUGCUGCGUAUGGGGACCGAGGGCUGCGGCGGACUCGUUUCGUCUCGGAUGCUGGCACAACGGCGCAAUACCGCCCGUCUUGAAACACGGACC